CUGCUGCUGCAAUAGCAUCUUAUGAACCGGGUCAGAUAGGGAACUAAGCAGCCCUAAGUAAUGCUCUGUUAUGUGCGGCAGUUUUUU
rnacentral:SRP_RNA from 1 species